UCUGGGAUAUCUGCGGCCAGAUUUUUGUCCUGAGAUAGCUUACAGUAGGCUACAGUACUACAGUCUUUUGCUGCAGGAAAUUGUUGCAGUUGCAGUGCUGCGAACUGCGAAGAGCAGCUAGAUCUAGCUAGAUAUCUAGUGUAGCCCAAGUUAGAACAUGCAUGAUCGAUGUGCUGGAAUCAAUGUCAGUGAACAGGAAUGUAGUGAUGUUGGAGUCAGUGAGACUUUUAUAUUAUUCAACUUAGAUCUAGCCCCUUCACUUUCCAAAAGUUGAUUUUUAUUCAUGCAUGAUUCCCGUUAUUCCGUUAUUGGUGAAAUUGAUGGUCUCGAAUUCGAAAGAAGAAAAAUGGAAGAGCUUUCUGUGUGCAGAACCUUCAGCUCUUUUCAGUCUUUGCAGGACGCGGUCGAAACUGCAAUGAGAGGUCCAGUAUCGGUGCUUUCAUGUAGCAAGUCAGUGGAGCAAGCCAACAGAGAAGUGGCGGCUGGGGAAGGAAAGUUUCCUGAAAUACUUAAGUACAAGAGUGUGAGACUAGGUUGUAAGCAGCUUGGGAGGGCUGAUUUUAAAUCUGGUACUGUACGGCAGUCCCCUCCAAAACUGCAGUGUCCAGCUCAUGUGAUCGCUGUGGCUGACCGAGACCUGGGUGCCCUGUGCAUCAAGCAAGUGUCUCUGUCACACAACCACCCGGUGACCCCAACUGCUUCCACCUCAGGCUCAGUGCCGAUGCGACAACUGUUGCCAGAGUUACUGGACGAUGGUCACCAGAUCUCUGAUGUUGGCUUGACUGUUACUGUGUCAUACAAAGAAAAUGGCUGCUCAGAGCCAUCUGUAGGGAGCAGUGUUGGCCAUGCUAUUGGACGGGAAGAGUUGGUGCAAAGCUCGGAAACGCUGACAGCGACGCCUGAUGAUUACGAUAAUGAAGAUGAUGAGGAAGAUGAAGAUGAAAAUACUGAAGAUAAUGACGAAGAAGAAGAAGAUGAGGAAGAAGAAGAAGCAGAGGUUAAUGAGGCCAGCAUCAGUGGUGGGACAUGUUCAAAGUCAAAGAAAGCUUUAAGUUCCUCUCCGCCUAGAAGUGGCUCAAAGGCAAAGAAGUACGGCCAGUACAGUCCUGAUGCCCUGGCUGCUGCAUGGUCAGCCAUUGUUAGCGACGGACUCUCCAUCCAUAUGGCUGCCAAGGUGUACGGCAUCCCGAAGUCCACUCUCCACGACAGGGUCAAUAACAGGAACGUCUUCAACUUGGGGGGAAAACCUAAUGCAAACAAAACCAAGAUUCUUGACCCAGAGACAGAGUGCCAAAUGGUGGAACAUGUUCGCCUACUCCAGACUUCUGGUCAUCAUGUAACGAAAAGCGAAGUUCUCUCUCUGGCGUCCAUGCUGGCACAAGUAGGGGGAACGUUGUCAAAAAACCGAACUCUGACAAGAGGCUGGCUGAUCAGCUUUGAGCAACGGUGGCCUGGCCUCCUAUCUGGAGAAGGGACCCUGCUUGCCAAAGACGGGUCUGGAUCGAUAACCACUGGCAAAGAGGGGCAAUGUAGCAGGCUGCAGAAUGUGACUGCUUACUAUGACAAACUAAAGUCUCUUCUGCACAGUACUGACCACACAUUACACAAGAAGCCGCAUUUGAUCUUCAGCCUCGAUGAAAUUGUUUUUUGUGAAGAGAAAAAGUUAAACCAUGCCCCACCGAUGGUUAAACGGCGAUCCCAACUGUCUCCUGGUGACCUGGUUUUAGCCAGUGUUCUGAUCUGUGCCAGUGCCGCAGGCCACAUUCUGCCUUUGUUUUUUGUUCUCAGAGACCCGAGUGCCAAACUCUGCCCUAAUGGAGGGGUGUCCCAUUGUGUGUCUGCCACAGGUUUAGCUGAUUCGCAGAUACUGAAGAGAUUUAUUGAAAGCCACUUCUUCGAACACCUUUGUAUUGGAAUGGGUGACCAGGCACUGCUGCUGUAUGACCACCAGAAUAAAGAGAUUGAUAAAGAACUGACCACUUUUGCAAGAGAGAGAAAAGUUAUCCUGAACCCUGACCCUCCUCACCGCUCCUUUUCUAGUCAACCAUUAGACUUUGGCUGUGUGUCCAACUUUUCACGAGUGUUCAGAGAAUUAUAUGCUGAAUGUGGGAAUGAGCACUGUGAUAGCAAUCUCUUAGUUAGACUGGUUCAGGCCACUAUGGACAAGAAAAUCUCUGCCAAGUCAAUAAGAGCUUACUUUGAAAAGGCUGGGAUUUAUCCAUUUGAUACAUCGAAAUUGACGAAAGAACAUUUACUGCCGUACACAUUUCAGUCAAUGUUUGACAAGAAACGUUCUUGUCCAAGUACCGGUACUAAUGUGUCUCGUGAAGUGGACAGUGGGAGAAAGAAACGAAGGCGACUGCUCCAGACAGAAGGAGGAAAGUCCUCACGUCAUGGAGGAGUCCAACUGCCGAGUGCUGUGUGUUUCCGCUCUGUCUCAGAGGCAGAGGAAGUGUGUUGUGUGUGUGGGAAACUGGAGCCUGAUUUCACCUCAGGGGAAGUGUCAUCCACCCCCAUCCACUGGGGUCAAUGUAGUAAAUGUCCCCACUGGGUGCAUCUCAAGUACUGUUCUGUUUUCAAGUCCCUUACUGCUAACACAAUUUUCUUGUGUGACCACUGCACUGGGCUCUGACCUGUACCGAUUUAACCUGCUGAGAUUUCCUGAGCUGCGAUCAAAAGAAGUUUCAGAUUGCUAAGCGGAAGUUUUCCACCAAGCACUAUGGGCGAUACUCACCCGAGGACCUCCAGAGAGCCUAUGAUGCCAUCAAGAAAAAGGGUCUGUC
rnacentral:misc_RNA from 1 species